AUGUACAAUUUGUUUACACGUUUUGAUUCAAACAAGAAAUUUCAAUAUAAAUAAAUAAAGUUUUUUCCCUGUUCGGGUCGUCGUUGUGUUGGUGCGGUGCGAGUGGUGAUGUGUGUGCCGCGCGGCCAGCCAGGAAUGGCGAAACACGGAUUUUCAGUAGGUGUUGGUGGUGCAUCCAAGUGUUCUCGAGAUAGUCGGUAUCGUGUUCCACGUCCGGAGGCGACUUUUUGGUGCUGAAUCGAAAUGAAAGGGAGGAAAUAAAUAUUUUUACGCUAUCACAUGCGUCCGUUAGAGAGUAAAGUGAGGCAAACGAGCAACCUAGACCAGUUCACAUGGACGGGCUGGAUCAAACCACCAAGUUUCUCCCCCUAUCAAACUCUGUCAACGUGAACGAGUUCCACCCCCUCAUGGCCCAGCGGCGGCCAACAGAGCACCGAACGGCCGUGAGCAAAAGAAAGGGGUUCUCCUCCUGGUUAACCAGUUUAGGCAGUUUAGCGAACCCCUUUUCCACCCGGAGAGCAGACGCAACGGCAAAUCUGCGCUAUCGCGCACGUUUCACA